CUGCACGUGUGGAAAUGUUAUUUUAAAAUUAAGUAUCUGUCCAUAACAUGCUAUAUUAAAAAAGUUCUCAGGGCUGCCAACCUUACAGUAGAGGUUGAGUAGUAGUAUAUUUCUCCUACAUUA